AAGCCUUGAUCCUACAAAGAAGACUCAAUUAUUUGUCACAAUGAGUCCAGGAAGCAAGGAUCAACUGCAGCCAACCUUAGAAUAAAGAAAGCAUAGAGAAACAGUACCUAUCUUAAGAUAAAGCAGUGCAUCACUUGCCAGCAAGAGCACACAGCUGAAAUUGACUGAUAUGUUAACCCUCAGGCAGAGGGCAAGGCAACCCUAAAUUCUAUGUUUAAGAGCAGAGUACUGAUUAACA